UUCUCAUGUGUGAUGGGCAGAUAGGAUUCUGACAAGAGAGGAAGGGCAUUCCCAGGGAGGCAGUUUUGAGGAGUCAAGGGUGUACCUGGAAGGCUCUUUUGCCACAGGCCACUGGAGCCAGGGCCAGAAGCCCUGGUCCAUCCUCAGGUGGUGGGAAGCCUGGGACUCUCCUCUGCCUGCCCUAGAGAGCAGCAGGUAUCCACCAAGGGGCCCAAGAGCUGCUGAGCCCCUGAGCAGCCCUACCAAUUUCAGCUUAUGGUGGUGAGGGGUAGGGGAGGUGUAUACUGGCCUGGAAGGGGUUAAGCUGCCUGCCUGCAGCCUCAGCCUGAGCUAUUGUGUUGCCAAACAAGGGCCACAUGGUCCCCACCCUCAUGGAGAGGGUGGUCUAGAGCAAGGAUCAGCAAACUACCCUCUGCGGGCCCAAUCCAGCCCACUGCCUGGACUUGCAAAUAAAGUUUUAUUGGAACACAGCCACACUCAUUCAUCUACAGAUUGCCCGCAGCUGCUUUCAUGCUACAAUGGCAAAGUUGAGUGGUGGUGACAAAGACCAAAUGACCCAUAAGGCUGCAAAUAUUUGCUCCCUGCCCUUUACAGAAACAGUUUACCCAUCCUGGUCUAGAGGGGCAGCAUAUGUCAGACAAAGAACCCCACAAUUGGUGUGGGGGUGCCCUCUGGCCGUAGAGAAACAGGCUGGAGAGGAACUUUUGAUGGGAAGGCCCAGUCUGGCCAUGGCACCAGAAAUGCCCCAGCAGAACUUGGUCUGUGGACUGGCUAUAGGGCCAUCCCAUGCUCAGACUGAGAAGGCCGGUGUGGCCCCAGGGUUCAGGGUUUAGGGCAGGGCCAACCAUGGCUGCCAUGAAAUUUUCCCAUUUGGGAAAUUAGGAAAGAUCUGUGUAGCAUCUGACAAAAUUGGAUGGGAAUGGGGCCAGCUGGGGAAUCUCCACUCGGAGCCCCACCCACAACCAGCUGGCU
rnacentral:lncRNA from 1 species